rnacentral:snRNA from 1 species
GGAUGUGAGGGUGAUCUGGCUGCGACAUCUGUCACCCCAUUGAUCGCCAGAGUUGAUUCGGCUGAUCUGGCUGGCUAGGCGGGUGUCACCUUCCUCCCUCACCGCUCCAUGUGCGUCCCUCCUGAAGCUGAGCGCUCAGUCGAAGAGGACUACCAUCCCCGAUAGUGGAGGACCGGACUUCGGUCAAGGGUAUACGAGUAGCUGCGCUCCCCUGCUAGAACCUCCAAACAAGCUCUCAAGGUCAAAAUUCUACCGGUUGAUUUAGCAAUGAAUUUCUCUGGAUAAACUAAUUAACAAAGACUAAAACUGAAGUCUAAUCAUUUAUUUAUUU